rnacentral:rRNA from 1 species
UACGUAGGGUGCAAGCGUUAAUCGGAAUUACUGGGCGUAAAGCGUGCGCAGGCGGCUUUGCAAGACAGAUGUGAAAUCCCCGGGCUCAACCUGGGAACUGCAUUUGUGACUGCAAAGCUGGAGUACGGUAGAGGGGGAUGGAAUUCCGCGUGUAGCAGUGAAAUGCGUAGAUAUGCGGAGGAACACCGAUGGCGAAGGCAAUCCCCUGGACCUGUACUGACGCUCAUGCACGAAAGCGUGGGGAGCAAACAGG